rnacentral:rRNA from 1 species
UACGUAGGGUGCAAGCGUUGUCCGGAAUUAUUGGGCGUAAAGAGCUCGGUAGGCGGUCUGUCGCGUCGGCUGUGAAAACCCGGGGCUCAACCCCGGGCCUGCAGUCGAUACGGGCAGACUAGAGUGCGGUAGGGGAGACUGGAAUUCCUGGUGUAGCGGUGAAAUGCGCAGAUAUCAGGAGGAACACCGGUGGCGAAGGCGGGUCUCUGGGCCGUAACUGACGCUGAGGAGCGAAAGCGUGGGGAGCGAACAGG